UUACGGCCAUAUCACGUUGAAAUACCGGUUCCCGUACGAUCACCGAAGUUAAGCAACAUUGACCUUUAUCAGUACUCAGAUAGGUGACUACUUGGAAAUAGCAGGUUCUGUAAG